GCGUGCCGAUGAUGAUGCAAAAGCUUCGGUGAAUUCUGGAUGAAUGCGCUUGCGCACCAUCAGUUGUGUGCGCAGCUCUGGUGAUAUCCACUGCGUAAUACUCUGAGGCACAC
rfam:Triticum aestivum genome assembly, contig: Triticum_aestivum_CS42_TGACv1_scaffold_435626_5DL